UUUGUUUGCUUUUCAUUACAGCUGAUGCUAUUGUCAAACCGUAAACUGAUGCUAGGGCUGUGCCAUAGGAUUUUCACUGCUCUAGACAAGAUUUGUCUGAUGUGUUUUCUGGUCCUGAGGGAGUAACAUAAUUCAUGCUUAAGUGGAACAUUCCAUUUCAUAAACAACUAACUGAAAGAAGUGCAUUUAUCUUUAUUUUAACUGAGAAUGCCGGGAGGGGCGGGGGUGCACGUGGGGAAGGAAGAAAGGGAAGAAAGAAUUGCUUGAAUUAAGGAUCCUAUUCUACUUUGGAGAUAAUUCAGACUUUGUUCAUACAAGUAUUUCUGCAAAACAGAUGAUUUCUAGGAAAGCUAUAAAUUUUAUCUCUAAAUAAAAUCUCCAUGAACAGUAAUGCAGAUAAUGAGCAAAGAUAUUUUCCAACCUAAAUGUUUCUAUGAUUCUAUAAUCCUAGAAGAUAUACUUUUGGUGUCCUUUAUUAGAAAUUUGCCUUUGUUAAAUAACUGACUUGUAUUAGUUGGUUCUGACUCACAACAAAUUUCUUGGCAUAUAUUUUAUGUUUUCUCUCCUAAGAGAAUGAUUUCUUUCUUCAUAACUUUGAGGGUUUAACCCCAUGCAUUUCUCAGAACAAAUGUUCCAGGUAAGUUCCGUUGAUGAUUUUUGUCAUCCUGUGCAACAUCCAGACUUAGUCACCACCUUCCUAAAUCUAUAUGAGUGUACAACAUCACUGGAUUUCACCUGCCUGAUGCAAAGACAAACAAAAAGAAAUACUGGAAUGCACAUAUCCAUUGGAAAGAAGUUAUUCUGUUUCAGGGGGUUUGUGCCAAAUGAGCACCAUAUAAUGGAUUACUGCAAAGCACAGUCGUGAAGCUGAGUUUUUGGGCUGUGGAGUCUCCAACACUGCAGGUAUGGAAUUGAUCCCAUUUUGAGAGAAGUGGGAGACAGGGUAGCCACUUGAGGUUUUUUUCUUCUGCAUUGCUUUUAUUGAUUCUUCUACAAUCCAAUAAAAGUUGUUAUUAUAUAACCAUCGGUGAGAAGAGAAGCCGUAACAGCAAGGCAAGAAUGAUAAUCACAAUAAAAAAUUGCUAAAGGAAAGCAAGUCUCUUACUAUAGCUCAACUGCCUGAGCGGUCACUAAAGAAAAUAACUGACUAUUUGAUUUUUUGCUUUAGAGACAUAAGGAAAGAAACAAGAAAAAAUGUGGAAAAGAAAAAAAAAUUUGACUUACCCAAGUUGCAUUAAUAAUAAAUUUUAUUUCACCAGGCAGAUUCAGAUUUCUUUAAAAAAUGGUAUAUUUUUCCCACCAAGAAUAGUAGAGUAGAUGUAGUAAAAAUGUGCAUUGUGCUUGCUAUUCAAAAAGUGCCUUAAUAAAUUAAAUUUUUAAGUGAAAGGAAGGAACACUACCACACCUCUCAGGUGGAUUCUGCAUAAAUUUUAGGUUGCAUAUUUAACCAUAUAUUCCAAGUUCUAUGGAAUUAUAAUGAGAGCAUAGAAAGAUUUAGUAAGGAUAGAGAGUCCUAGAGAGUGAAAACAAUGCUGAAUGAUGCUGAAAACUGAACUGAUGUGCCCCACCUUACUAAGGCUUCAGUGUGAGCAUGUUGCAGGGAGAACAACAAAAGUACACAGUAAUAUAUGCAGUUGCUACAAUUACUACAUAAAUACUCACACAUUAAAAUACAGAAAAAAACCCAAAGCAGUGUUAUACUGGAAUGCAAGAUGAGUGAACACUUGUUACAGAACAGAUGCCUAACUGAAAAAUCCAAGCGUGAGCCACAGGCUUACCCUCUUCGAGAGACCUCAGAAUAUUCAUGAAAGGUAUAGUAUUUUGAAUUCUUGAUCAAAACCUCUCACAUUUUACAUUUGGUCAAAGAAUGUUACUUGAACACUCAAUUCACAACUUAUUUUUCAGGAAUUCCAAAGCAUGAAAUAGUUUGAAGGACUUCAAAGACGUGGACCUUCUAAUUGGUUGCAGGAUACUUUAUUACAGUUGCACUUUUCAAGGUAAAUUUGGAGCAUGUGGUUUGCAGCUGCUGAACUGUGUUCAGAGUUCUGAAAGAUAUCCCUUGGGAUUCCUACUUGUAUCAUUUAUGUAUUUUAAUCCAAAAGAAACAGAAAAAGUGAAGAGCGAAAAACAAAGCCACGGUGGGGAAAGAACAUGCCAUGGACACCUUUUGCUAUCAAGCAUGAUCAUCCCAUGCUGUCAAGGCAUUCAUCUAAGCUUUACAGCCUGGCAGAUAGAGUGGUUACAAAAUGGUUGUAUUGUUUUUUCAUCUUUUCAGAAAAAAAAUGAGGAUUCAGUUCAAUAAAAAGUAUGAACUAUUACCAGCUGGGUCUUGUGUUUCUCUAAAUGAUCUCAUAACACAAAAUGAGCAAUAAGGAGUACAUACUGUAAACUUUAAAUUGAAC